UACAGAGGGUGCAAGCGUUAAUCGGAAUUACUGGGCGUAAAGCGCACGUAGGUGGCUGGGUAAGUUGGAUGUGAAAUCCCCGGGCUUAACUUGGGAAUUGCAUUCAAGACUGCCUUGCUAGAGUGUGGAAGAGGGAAGCGGAAUUCCAGGUGUAGCGGUGAAAUGCGUAGAUAUCUGGAGGAACAUCAGUGGCGAAGGCGGCUUCCUGGUCCAACACUGACACUGAGGUGCGAAAGCGUGGGGAGCAAACAGG
rnacentral:ncRNA from 2 species